rnacentral:rRNA from 1 species
GACGAACGCUGGCGGCGUGCCUAAUACAUGCAAGUAGGACGCAGUUGCGAACGGGUGAGUAACGCGUAGGUAACUACCUAUUAGAGGGGGAUAACUACUGGAAACGAUAGCUAAUACCGCAUACUAGUAGAUGGAGCUGCGUUGUAUUAGCUAGUAGGUAGGGUAAUGGCCUACCUAGGCAACGAUACAUAGCCGACCUGGGAGGGUGAUCGGCCCAACUGGGACUGGGACACGGCCCAGACUCCUACGGGGAGCAGCGAGAGGGAAUCUUCGGCAAUGGGGGGAAGCGUGAGCGAGCAACGCCGGGGGGGUGAAGUAAGUUUGCGGAAGGUAAAGGUAAGUUGUUAAGGAAGCGGUACUUAACCAGAAAGCGACGGCUAACUACGUGCCAGCAGCCGCGGUAAUAC